rnacentral:rRNA from 1 species
UACGGGGGGGGCUAGCGUUGUUCGGAUUUACUGGGCGUAAAGCGCGUGUAGGCGGACUUGUAAGUUGGGGGUGAAAUCCCGAGGCUCAACCCUCGGAACUGCCUCCAAAACUAACAAGUCUGGAGCAAGAUAGAGGCAAGUGGAAUUGCGAGUGUAGAGGUGAAAUUCGUAGAUAUUCGCAGGAACACCAGUGGCGAAGGCGACUUGCUGGAUCUUUGCUGACGCUGAGACGCGAAAGCGUGGGGAGCAAACAGG